UACACGGUCCUUAGAUCCUCCAGCCGGGACGCUUGUCCACCAACUUGACCGGUUGGCGAUGGCUGGAGCAUGAGUCAUUGCCGUGUGACAGCAGUAUACCUGAGCGGCAGCCACCGUCGUGCCCCGCCCCGUCCUCGGCCGUCUCUGUGUGCUGACUCAAUAUUCGGCCGAUGGACUCCAGUGGGCGCCAUGUGGGGCCGACACUCGCUGUCGCUCGGACAAU